UCGAUAGAGGCGCGUGUUAUCAAGAGUAGCGGUGCAAAAAACGGUCUGCCGAAGACCGCACCGUGAAAGGGGUAUACGCCGAAGAGGUGGGUUGGCUUCCAUGCUCUGGUACACGGAAAUAAGAUUCCGGAUACUGUCGCAGAAAUGCGGAGUGCUAUCAA
rnacentral:ncRNA from 1 species